ACGCUCGACACCUACGGGGGGCAGCAGUGGGGAAUAUUGCACAAUGGGGGAAACCCUGAUGCAGCGACGCCGCGUGAGUGAAGAAGUAUUUCGGUAUGUAAAGCUCUAUCAGCAGGGAAGAAGAUGACGGUACCUGAGUAAGAAGCCCCGGCUAACUACGUGCCAACGAGCCGCGGUAAUCUGAGCGGGCUGGCAAGGC
rnacentral:rRNA from 1 species